rnacentral:misc_RNA from 1 species
CGCACAGCACUAAAGUUUUUAGAAGACGUUACAAACCCCGUUCAGCCCCUCUCGUUCGCCGUGCCUUUCAACUUCUCGAAGAGUAAAGGACUACUUUUUUUUCCUGAGACGCUUCUCGCUUUGGCAUCUACUCAGCCUCACCAUGCGACGUCCAAAGACCGAAUGCGAGAUACAGCAGGAGCAGUCAGAUGAGCUGUUUGCGCGUCAGCUUCAAGAGCAGCUGAACAACUCAGGCGAUGUUGUUCAUGCUCCGCCUCCGCAGAGCGGACCGUCGAAGUCAGUGCAGGAGGCUGCCGAUGCUGCUUACGCUCGCCAGCUUCAACAAGAAAUCGACCGUCAAGAGGCCGCCACCGAUGCAGGUGACUCUAGAGCAAGUGAGGACAAGAUCCCCGUGGAGUGCCCUGCUUGCACCUUUGUCAACUACAUGAAGCCAUCUAGCUCGUCGAACCACUGGAAAUGUGCUCAGUGCAGCAGACCUUUGAUGGAAAAUGUAUCGUACUCAGGCCAUGUCUCCCACAAAGAUCUCGUGGAGUGCAGAGUGUGCCAUUCCCUCAACAAGCUCCCUACGAAGAAGUCCGAUGCUGUUUUGUGUGGCGGAUGUUAUCAGGAGCUCGGCUCGACCCUGAGCAGCGCUUCGCAUGUAGAGAGCGAAGAAAACCAGCGUACAGUGCAGCUUCGCUGUGGCCAAUGCAGCGUGAUCAAUGCUGUGACAGUCGGUGUCAAUGUGAAGAGAUUAGAGUUCAUAUGUGGUGGCUGUGGAGUAUUGAAUACGAUGACACUUGAGUAAGUCGCGCUUAAAGUCCCCAUUUUGCCGGCGGCUCGCAUUGCUUUCACCCUUUCGCGUGUCUUUUUUCAUCUGGCGCUUUCGUAUGGUUGUCAGGUCCUUUUUUACCUUUGCAUUCACUUCAAAACACGUUUAUCUCCCGAGAAUAUGUUCUUUUUUUUUUGUCACGAUGAUUAUUAGCGAGUUUGUGAUAUGCUAUUUGCCUUCUAUCUCUGUUUGCGAUUCCUAUGCUUGUUUGUAUCGCUUG